ACCCGGAAAUGGUUCCAAUCGUUUUUUUCACCAUUGAUUUUUGCGUCAGGGAUUUUAGACCUUCAUAUAAGGCCUGUGUUUUGUGUAGGCUUACCCUGGCGUGACGUUUUUAUAACCGCGCAAAUCUCUCUCGGACAAGUGACGACACUCGGGUCUGUAGCUGCCAUUUUCCGUUGGAUAAGAGAAAUGGUACCAGAAAAGUCCAACAGGAGUGCAUCCCUCAGACUGUAUGAUGCAUGGACAUCCUGUGUCAGUGUGAUCCACUUGUGGAGACUACAGCUGAUCGAGCCUGUGAACGGACAGAUACGAGGCGUGACAUGCUGAAACAUCAGGCUCACCCCACGAGAAGCAGUAAAUGAUCAACGCCACCCUCAACAAGGAGAUCUGCUGGAAGUGAUUUAAAUCAAAUCAAAUGUUUAUUUGUCACAUACACAUUUACUCUCACUCUGGGGUUAAGACGUCAUUUAAACAUUACAGAUAUAAAUUCCCACUGUGCCCAUGAUACAAUGCGAUGUGAAUUGUGUUGUACUACUGAAUGAAACGGAGGAGGUGCACUCAGACCAUUCUGUGUCAGUGUGAUCAGGUCGCAGUUGUAAAUGAGAACUUGUUCUCAACUGGCCCCACUUCACAGACAUCAUCCCAUCUAACGACUGAUCCGAGGACCCUUUUUAGGAGCAACGGAGGACAAGUGCAGUUUUUCCAUAAACCAUUUAAUUGAUAAAUUGGGAUUUUAUUGCUUAACAUAUCAGUCAUAUAGUGGGAAGGAUCCUAUAAAUUUAGACUGUGAAUGCAUGUACCACUGAAUAAAUAAAUACUGUGCCUCUGAA